AUCAUCAAACAAAUCCCAAAUUUCUAACUGGAUUCAAAAAAAUAAAAAUAAACAGAAAAAUCAGGUUCUUACAACGCCAAUCAUCAAGAAACCAAAGAAAAAAAGUAGUCUCAGCUCAAUGGCUACUGCAGUAGCUUCAACCUCUCUCCUCUUCUUCUCCUCUCACUCUUCUUCACCUUCAUCUUCGUCUCUCUCACCUCUCACUCGCCUCUCCUUCUCUCCAACUUCCCACCACUCCUCUCUCGCAUCAUCUCUCUCCAUUUCUCCAUCUUUUCUUGCUCUCUCCUCAAAGACUC
rnacentral:lncRNA from 1 species